rnacentral:lncRNA from 1 species
UCCACGAACCCGUAAUCCAGUGACUUUUCAAUCCCCAAUCAGAGGCGUUCCGGACAUUCCGUUCCGUGCGCACUACCAGUAUUUGCGAACUGUCAAACAAAUCUCUGUAUCUGUGUGUGUGCGGUUGCGUAACAAAAGACAAAAAUGAAUUCGUCAGGUCCUCCUGUGAAAUAUGGAUACUGUGGCUGACUAAUACAAGGUUGUCCAAACAUCCUACAACACAUAUGCUUGUGUGAGUAAUACGAUUCCGUCUUUGUCAGCGUCGGGUGUCCCUGACACGGAAUGCACAGGCCCGGAAGUGCCGACACCCAAUCACAGUAGCGCAUUUCAAAUUCAGCGCUAAAAGGACCGAUCGCAAUUUGCCGGCGAUCGUUUCGUGCGUGUCAUUUCCGUAUCAUGAGACAGUACGAAAAAUGCAUCCCGUAAAUCAGUGGAGCGGGAACGCCUCUGAUUGGGGCUUGAAAAGUCACUGGAUUCCGGGUUCGUGGAGACGGAACAAAUUCCGGACCAUGGGACGGCAGCUUGAGGGUUCGCGGCUGCUCUUGGUAUUGCAGUUUCUCGAUCCCGCUCGAUGAGCAUGGUAGGACAAAGCGCAACUUCCUAGUAUGGGAUUUUCUUACCGACGAUCAAUAAUUAGACGAUGAAAACGAUGGUAACGGUGCUAAUGUAGAGCAUAUUUUAUUCGACGAGGGUGGGGGUAACCUUCAAAGGCUUGCGCCUGAGAAAGGCUUUGCUGGUAAGUCCGAUUCUUUCACGUUACUGCCGCGCUUUACAGCAUUUUUAUGGGCGCACGCGCUUGAUUACGACAAGAAACCGAGGGGUUAGGACGCCUCUCAUGUCAUUCUAACGAACGGGAAAUCCAGAUGCCGGCAACCCUCCAACCGCUGAUGGACCAACACUGUGGCGAAACAAAGAAACGAAAAAAUCUUGUUAGUCCCGCCUAAUGAAAGGACGAGCAAUUAACUUGUCUCAAUUAAUGGAUCAACUUCUGUUAUAUGUGACCUACCUAUUUCAAUGCUGAAAACUAAGCAGUCUUAUCGUUUUCUGGAAUAAGAAACAUAAUUGAUAAUCCAAUAAUACAAAACUAACAAUAAGAUGAACAUAAUAUGCA